rnacentral:rRNA from 1 species
AUUGAACGCUGGCGGCAGGCCUAACACAUGCAAGUCGAGCGUGCGGCGCACGCGUCAGUAAUGUCUGGGAAACUCCCUGAUGUUGGGGGUUAACUACUGGAAACGGUAUCUAAUACCCCUUACCAUCCCAUGUGCCCUCAUGGGAUUAGCUAGUAGGUGGGGUAACGGCUCACCUAGGCGACGAUCCCUAGCUGGUCUGAGAGGAGGACCAGCCACACUGGAACUGAGACACGGUCCAGACUCCUACGGCAGGCAGCAGUGGGGAAUAUUGCACAAUGGGCGCAAGCCUGAUGCAGCCAUGCCGCGUGUGUGAAGAAGGCCUUCGGGUUGUAAAGCACUUUCAGCGGGGAGGCGUUACCCGCAGAAGAAGCACCGGCUAACUCCGUGCCAGCAGCCGCGGUAAUUC